CAACCGUCUGCAUGGCUGAGAAUCCAGAAUAAGGGCAGGGUGUCAAAACAAUCCAAUAUGGACAUGUUCAAAACUGUGGGAUUCGGUACAUCGGAGGAAUGAAUCAAUAUGAAAACACAUAUAAAAAGGAAAGAAAUGCCUGAAGUUGUCAAACUUUACAGUACAUAACUCAA